rnacentral:rRNA from 1 species
UACGUAGGGUCCAAGCGUUAUCCGGAAUCACUGGGCGUAAAGCGUGCGUAGGCGGUCUGUUAAGUGAGAUGUGAAAUCGUGUGGCUCAACCAUAUCGUUGUGUCUCAUACUGGCAGACUAGAGGAUAGCAGAGGCAAGUGGAAUUACGAGUGUAGCAGUGAAAUGCGUAGAGAUUCGUAGGAACACCAAUGACGAAGGCAGCUUGCUGGGCUAUAUCUGACGCUCAGGCACGAAAGCGUGGGGAGCGAACAGG